CUUUAGAGAAAAAAACGAACAUUUGUCCAACAUUCAAAGCCUUUUUAAUUACCUUUAUAACAUAAACUUUACUCAUGAUCUUGUUCUAACUUUUUUUUAAAUAGGAGAUAGACAUACUUUAAUGGGUUCAACUUUUUAUUAAAAAACAGUAAUAUUUUGGUUCUUCCUGCUGGAAAUAUAUCUAUAAUCCAACAUAUGUGGCCUGACAACCCAACACCAUGUCAGAAUUGUUCCUUUGCAAAUUGAGUCUGGAUUACAUUUGUAUUUUUCAACCAAUUUUCAAUUUCUAUCUACAAAUUAUUCUGAUUAAUUCUUUGCAGGUGGCCCAAAUUGUAUCUGAAGAAUAAAAAUUAUUGUUACAAUGAAAUAAUUACAAACUAUAAAAUUAAUUGAAAGGUCAUAUGCAGGGCCAAAUUAACCUUUGCAUAAAUCAAAAUUAAGGUUUGAAACUAUUUUUAGCAUUCUUUGGUCUAUCAAAUCAUCUCAGAAAUUUGAAUACAAAGUUUAUAAUUGAUUGAAAUUUGUCCAUGGAUGUAUGUAUUGAUUUACAUUUAUCUUUUUUUAAAGACAAUUUUGGAGAUGUAUUAUUUACUUCUUUAGUUAAGUAAUCAAUGUAAUCUAUCCUUUGCUGAUUUUAAAAGAUUUAGAAAUCAUUUCAAAGUUGCAAUUGCCAGAAAAUUUGGAAAAACUCCAGUAAAAAUGAACAUAGAAUUUAUCCACUUUCCCCAGCAUUACAAUGUAUGCUAAAAGGCCUAUAAUUAUCAAAUUCCUAUUCUGAUCUCUAAAAAAUAGAUGAAAAAUAUAAAUAUUAUUGAAAAAAAUCACUCAACACACUCUUGUAUUGAUUUCAGGUCGAGGAGGAAAAUUAUAAUUCAUUAUUUCGUGGUAUAAAAGUGAUUUAGUACAUUUAGAUCCUUUUUUCCAAUUUUCUUGUAAUAAGAAUAAAGAAACAUGUAUUUGUGAGAUGUCCGUACUCUUUCAUCUUCAACUGCAAAUAAAUUGGUUUUAUAUAAAUAUAAGAAGUGAGUCUUUCCUCAAUUAUCCAAGAAACAGUGAUUUGGUACAUAUAUUUCAGAUGCUUCCCUUCAAUGAGGAGCUUCAUCUUGUUGUCUUUCUCAUCAAUUCAAGAAAAACGUCCAAGAACAUAAAUUUUGAGAUAAUUUUCGAAAAUUGUCGCCAUUUCCCAAGACUGAUUCCUACGAAAUUUAACGAACCAUAUCUUGCUCUUCUUUGUCCACACAAUUAAGUGUCACAUCAUAAUGAAAAGAUCGAAUAUUGAAAUAGGAGGCGGAAAAAAUAUUGUCAGACAUAAUUUUUAACGUUCGGAAACUUAAUUAUAAUAGUGUCUAAUUGUAUAAUGAAUAGAUAAUUAUAAAUUAUAAUAAUAGUAUUGUUCCUGUGGGAGUAAAGCUAGAUCGAAUCUACUCACUUUUUAAUAUAUUUUAACAAAUAUCUGAGGCUAUCAAUAUGACUAAUUAUAUUCUAAAAGUCAUGACGUGGCCAAUUAGAGUCAAAUUAAAUAAUGGAAGUUCCUUAAUUAUAACUAAUAUUGUUUUGUAUCUUAUUCUAUCCCUCAAAUUUGAACAUAAAUUCCAUAACGGGACAAAUAUGCAUAUAUAAUAAACUAUUUGGUCGUUAAUAUUUAUUAAGUAAAUAAAUAUAAGGGGAAUUUCUCAAUAACUGGACUUUUACUCAAACGUCAUUUCUAGUUGACUCACCAUAUAUUAUAAUAUUUAAACCUCAAAAAAUAUCCUUUUCAUAAUGAAGAGAUUCUGUGACUUAAUAUAUGUCGUGUUUUAGGAAUAAAAAUACUUGGACAAUUGAAAUUUUGGAAGUAGAACAUUACUAUCAUAUUUACCAAUGUUCUCCAUCUUUUUUUCCUCUCCCUCAAAUAAAAAACAAAUAUUUAAAAUACCAAAACUUCUCCAAUUUAAAAGGAAGAAUUGGUAAGGCUUCAAGAUUAUUAUAAAAAAAGUUAUUAGCAAUAAAUUACCAUUCCUAAGCAAAUAUUUACAUGUACAUUAAACUACUAUUUUUUUUUUUUUUUUCAAAAUUUGUAUGCAAAAAUUGUCCAAAAAAAAAUGAAGAAACUUUUAUAAAUGAUUCUUUUUUUUGAAAUAGUCAGUAGAAGUCUAAAUAUAUAAUUUCA
rnacentral:lncRNA from 1 species